UACAGAGGAUGCAAGCGUUAUCCGGAAUGAUUGGGCGUAAAGCGUCUGUAGGUGGCUUUUUAAGUCCGCCGUCAAAUCCCAGGGCUCAACUCUGGACAGGCGGUGGAAACUACCAAGCUGGAGUACGGUAGGGGCAGAGGAAUUCCCGGUGUAGCGGUGAAAUGCGCAGAUAUCGGGAGGAACACCAAUGGCGAAGGCAGCUCGCUGGGACGGUACUGACGCUGAGGCGCGAAAGCGUGGGGAGCAAACAGGAUAGAA
rnacentral:rRNA from 1 species